rnacentral:tRNA from 1 species
GGGUGGUUAGCUCAGCGGUAGAGCACUGUCUUCACACGGCAGGGGUCGCUGGUUCGAACCCAGUACCACCCA